GACGAACGCUGGCGGCGUGCUUAACACAUGCAAGUCGAACGGAAAGGCCUCUUUCGGGGGGUACUCGAGUGGCGAACGGGUGAGUAACACGUGAGUAACCUGCCCUUGACUUUGGGAUAACUUCAGGAAACUGGGGCUAAUACCGGAUAGGAGCUCCUGCUGCAUGGUGGGGGUUGGAAAGUUUCGGCGGUUGGGGAUGGACUCGCGGCUUAUCAGCUUGUUGGUGGGGUAGUGGCUUACCAAGGCUUUGACGGGUAGCCGGCCUGAGAGGGUGACCGGCCACAGUGGGACUGAGAUACGGCCCAGACGCCUACGGGAGGCAGCAGGGGGGAAUAUUGCACAAUGGGUGGAAGCCUGAUGCAGCAACGCCGUGUGCGGGAGGACGGACUUCGGGUUGUAAAACGCUUUCGCUCAUGACGAAGCUUUGUGUGACGGUAGUGGGUAAAGAAGCACCGGCUAACUACGUG
rnacentral:rRNA from 1 species